rnacentral:rRNA from 1 species
UGGGGAAUAUUGGGCAAUGGGCGCAAGCCUGACCCAGCAACGCCGCGUGAAGGAAGAAGGCUUUCGGGUUGUAAACUUCUUUUGUCAGGGAACAGUAGAAGAGGGUACCUGACGAAUAAGCUCCGGCUAACUACGUGCCAGCAGCCGCGGUAAUACGUAGGGAGCGAGCGUUGUCCGGAUUUACUGGGUGUAAAGGGCGUGCAGCCGGGCUGGUAAGUCAGAUGUGAAAUCCGUGGGCUCAACCCACGAACUGCAUUUGAAACUGCUGGUCUUGAGUACCGGAGAGGUUAUCGGAAUUCCUUGUGUAGCGGUGAAAUGCGUAGAUAUAAGGAAGAACACCAGUGGCGAAGGCGGAUAACUGGACGGCAACUGACGGUGAGGCGCGAAAGCGUGGGGAGCAAACA